rnacentral:rRNA from 1 species
AUUGAACGCUGGCGGCAGGCCUAACACAUGCAAGUCGAACGAGCGGCGGACGGGUGAGUAAUGUAUGGGAAUCUGCCCGAUGGAGGGGGAUAACUACUGGAAACGGUAGCUAAUACCGCAUACUAUCGGAUGUGCCCAGAUGGGAUUAGCUAGUAGGUGGGGUAAAGGCUCACCAAGGCGACGAUCCCUAGCUGGUCUGAGAGGAUGACCAGCCACACGGGGACGGAGACACGGCCCAGACUCCUUAGGGAGGCGGCAGUGGGGAAUAUUGGACAAUGGGCGCAAGCCCGACGCCGCCAGGCCGCGUGGUUGAAAAAGGCCGUAGGGGUUGAAAGUAAUUUCAGCGGGGAGGCGUUACCCGGAGAAGAAGGACCGGCUAACUCCGUGCCAGCCGCCGCGGUAAUAC